rnacentral:lncRNA from 1 species
GCCCCGGCGGGCCUGGGCUGGAAGGGGGCGGGCCUGCCCUUCAGCCCCUCGCCUGGUCGACCCCGGAGAGUAUUUGAAGCUCGCGCUUCCUCCACCGCCCGAGCUCCAGACCCUUCUUCCCAGCGCGGCGCGACGGCCCCAAGUGGAUGGGCUGUCUCUGGUGAACACGUCCAACUCCAGAGGCUGUGACUCUGGGGACCUUCGUGACCCCAAGACAGGGUCACACACCCGUGGCAUUUGGUCGCCAAAUUCCAGCCACGAGAGCCGGAGGUCAAGGUUGGCAUGAGCGGAAGCCCAAGGGAUAGACUUGUGGGCCAGAGGCUCUGGCAGCGCAGGAAGCCCAGCCCGUGAGGAGGGGCUACAGAGCUGAGCUGCAAGCAUCCCUUAGAGCCGUGGGUUUCCAGUUGCUCAACUGGACCUAGCAGAGCUGCGGCUUCUAGGACCGUAGCCAUCAGCCUCCUGGAAGCAUCUCCGUAUACACUGAAUAAAAGGAAAUGAAAUUGAAAAACACAGCUCCCUGGUGACACUAGCCAUGUUUCAAGACGCUACUGUAUCAUUGUCAACAUCAUGGAAGGUUCUAUGGGGACGGCCGGGCACUAGAAGACUGUGGAGUCCACCUGGGAGGGGGAUGAGCAGCAUUGGAAAAGACAGUGAACAGGGUCCAGGAGCUAGAAGAGGACACAGUCCCGGCCACCUAGAGCUUGGGGACUGGUACGAUCGAAGGGACGUGAGGUAUCUGCAGCCCAUUUGUUCAUUCGUCCAAUCAGCGGAGCUGAGUAAAUGUCACCUGUCUGACCGGUUACAACAUCACCUUGGGAAUCCUCUCGCCAACAGACAAGGACCCCCAUUCAACCGACUGGCUCCAAGCUGAGCCUUGGAGAGGUGGCUGGGGACAGGAGGAAAAGACAGAGCCCCCCACGCAUUGCCAGGAUUUCUCUUUCCGUAUCCCAGCCUCCCUGCUCCCUGGGGCACACAGGUGGAUGGCGGAGGCAGCCAGUGAAGGCACCAACCGAGGGGCAGGUGAGGUCACUGGGGGCGGGGGAUGCGGGGGAGCAAGAAGGAGAAGCAGCUUUGCCUGAGGGGCCACAGCUGGGAGGACAGCCGGGAAGCCUUCUGGGCUGAGGCUUGUGAGAUGGCUGGAAGUUAGCCAGGAGGACAAGCGCUUCCAGGCAGGAGGAACAGCAUCUGCAAAGGCUCAGCGCACGGCGCAACCUGGUGGGACUGGAGUCCCGCUGGUUCUUGAAACCCAGGGGCAUGAACACUAUCCUCUAGGCAUUGGAGAUGCAAAUGGCCUUAAGCAAAGGAGUGAGCCGGUACACGCUACAGAAGGACGCACGUAGCGUGGUCCUCUUAGACGA